AUGGUUUCCAGGUAUUCGUCCAUGGACAGACUGAAUCAGAAUCAUGAGAGAGGAGCUCUUAAAGAGAUUCUUGGGCUCUGUUUCAGGAGGCCUCUGGCUCGUGCAAUUUUAAGAUCUUGCCAAGUGCUCCCGAAGGAAGGCCAGAUCCGACCUGUAACUAUGGGAACUGGGAAAGAACUAACAAAAUCACACAGGAAAAAAGCAAACAACAGGAUUGACCCAAGAGUGAAAUGCAAACCUGCCUUGGGAUCAAACUUGGGACCUUGCACUUGGGAGGCAGGCGCUGGAACCACUGAGCCAAAUCCCCAGCCCAACAAUGUGUAGCUUUUAAAACUGUGGCCCCAUCUUUCCCUCCACUGGAUACUUCUUGUUGUCACCUGUUAUAGGCAUUGAAACUAUAUAUCCAUGCUUGGAACCGCG
rnacentral:lncRNA from 1 species